GACGAACGCUGGCGGCGUGCCUAAUACAUGCAAGUAGAACGCACAGUUUAUACCGUAGCUUGCUACACCAUAGACUGUGAGUUGCGAACGGGUGAGUAACGCGUAGGUAACCUGCCUGGUAGCGGGGGAUAACUAUUGGAAACGAUAGCUAAUACCGCAUAAUAUUAAUUAUUGCAUGAUAAUUAAUUGAGAGGUGCAAUUGCACCACUACCAGAUGGACCUGCGUUGUAUUAGCUAGUAGGUGAGGUAACGGCUCACCUAGGCGACGAUACAUAGCCGACCUGAGAGGGUGAUCGGCCACACUGGGACUGAGACACGGCCCAGACUCCUACGGGAGGCAGCAGUAGGGAAUCUUCGGCAAUAGACGAAAGUCUGACCGAGCAACGCCGCGUGAGUGAAGAAGGUUUUCGGAUCGUAAAGCUCUGUUGUAAGAGAAGAACGGGUGUGAGAGUGGAAAGUUCACACUGUGACGGUAUCUUACCAGAAAGGGACGGCUAACUACGUG
rnacentral:rRNA from 1 species